rnacentral:lncRNA from 1 species
GAGUAACGUGGAUCGCAUUGGUAAAUCUUGAGUUUCAACAAGUGCGCAUUUUAGAUUCGACCGAGUGAAAGCUUUGAAGAACAAAGAGUUUCUUGCAAAGAAGUAGCAUGAGACGGUGAAUCAAAGCGACAUUGUUGGUUACUUGAUCAAGCUUUGAUCACGGUAAGAAAAGGUGUCAUAAUCAACGUCUAAUUUAGGGUUUAUAGGGUUGGAU